rnacentral:rRNA from 1 species
GACGAACGCUGGCGGCGUGCUUAACACAUGCAAGUCGAACGGAAAGGCCCUGCUUUUGUGGGGUGCUCGAGUGGCGAACGGGUGAGUAACACGUGAGUAACCUGCCCUUGACUUUGGGAUAACUUCAGGAAACUGGGGCUAAUACCGGAUAGGAGCUCCUGCUGCAUGGUGGGGGUUGGAAAGUUUCGGCGGUUGGGGAUGGACUCGCGGCUUAUCAGCUUGUUGGUGGGGUAGUGGCUUACCAAGGCUUUGACGGGUAGCCGGCCUGAGAGGGUGACCGGCCACAUUGGGACUGAGAUACGGCCCAGACUCCUACGGGAGGCAGCAGUGGGGAAUAUUGCACAAUGGGCGGAAGCCUGAUGCAGCAACGCCGCGUGCGGGACGACGGCCUUCGGGUUGUAAACCGCUUUCGCCUGUGACGAAGCGUGAGUGACGGUAAUGUGUAAAGAAGCACCGGCUAACUACGUG